GGCAAAUGAUUGUCCCUUUUGAGUAAAUAAAUUCAUGUUGUGAACAUCAGCGAUGUUUCCUAAUAUCUUAUUCACUGUAGAAAUGCAGAAUGUAAUGUCUAAUGAUGUGAAUAAGGGGAGACUGGCACAUUUUCUUAACUUCGAGCUCUGCAUUCCAUCAUCUACUCAUCACAAAACUCUUAAACAUCUGAACUUUCUGCAUCAUGCUAUUUUAUUUGAAACUUUUGGCACAAAAUUAACUUCAUAGUGCAGAGUAUUAACGAUCUUCUAGUGCACACACACACACACAUGCACAUGCACACAGGUACUGAUCACAGGUGUGUAGUGUUCACUCGGUGUUAAUGUUAAUGAUGUGAGUGUGUGUUAGAGUAUCAAAGUGAGUGUGUGUUAGUAUUUUAAAGUGAGUGUGUGUUAGUAUUUUAAAGUGAGUGUGUGUCAGAGUAUCAAGUGAGUGUGCGUUAGAGUAUCGAAGUGAGUGUGCGUUAGAGUAUCGAAGUGAGUGUGCGUUAGAGUAUCGAAGUGAGUGUGCGUUAGAGUAUCGAAGUGAGUGUGCGUUAGAGUAUCGAAGUGAGUGUGUGUUAGUAGUAUCAAAGUGAGUGUGUGUUAGUUGUAUCAAAGUGAGUGUGUGUUAGUGUAUUAAAGUGAGUGUGUGUUAGUGUAUUAAAGUGAGUGUGUGUUAG
ensembl:lncRNA